rnacentral:rRNA from 1 species
CCUACGGGAGGCAGCAGUGGGGAAUCUUCCGCAAUGGGCGAAAGCCUGACGGAGCAACGCCGCGUGAGUGAAGAAGGCCUUCGGGUCGUAAAGCUCUGUCUUCAGGGAAGAACAACUAUAGUAUAAAUAAUGCUAUGGUCUGACGGUACCUGAGGAGGAAGCUCCGGCUAACUACGUGCCAGCAGCCGCGGUAAUACGUAGGGAGCAAGCGUUGUCCGGAAUUACUGGGCGUAAAGGGCGCGUAGGCGGGAACUCAAGUCAGGUGUGAAAACUAUGGGCUUAACCCAUAGACUGCACUUGAAACUGGGUUUCUUGAGGGCAGGAGAGGAAAGUGGAAUUCCUAGUGUAGCGGUGAAAUGCGUAGAUAUUAGGAGGAACACCAGUGGCGAAGGCGACUUUCUGGACUGUACCUGACGCUGAGGCGCGAAAGCGUGGGGAGCGAACAGGAUUAGAUACCCUGGUAGUCCACGCUGUAAACGAUGAAUACUAGGUGUAGGGGGUAUCGACCCCCCCUGUGCCGCAGUUAACACAAUAAGUAUUCCGCCUGGGGAGUACGACCGCAAGGUUGAAACUCAAAGGAAUUGACGG